rnacentral:rRNA from 1 species
GAUGAACGCUAGCUACAGGCUUAACACAUGCAAGUCGAGGGGCAUCAUGGGAGUUGCUUGCAACUUCUGAUGGCGACCGGCGCACGGGUGAGUAACGCGUAUCCAACCCUUCCCCCUAGCGAGGGGAUAGCCCGGCGAAAGUCGGAUUAAUACCCUAUGUUCUUCGUUGAUGGCAUCAGAUAUGAAGCAAAGGUUUACCGCUAUGGGAUGGGGAUGCGUCUGAUUAGGUUGUUGGCGGGGUAACGGCCCACCAAGCCAUCGAUCAGUAGGGGUUCUGAGAGGAAGGUCCCCCACAUUGGUACUGAGACACGGACCAAACUCC